rnacentral:rRNA from 1 species
AUGGCGGCGGACGGGGCGGACAGCGACCUUGAGGAGCAACUCAAGGAUGUCGGCGCCCGCCUGCAGGAGGCGCCCGACGACUCCGACGGCCUGCUCAAGCUCCUCUACGAUGUCGAGAAAUAUCUGUUGAGAGUGGAGCAAUCACCUGCAGCAAGCACAUUUGCUGCUGUUCGCCCAGCAAUGGAUGCCCUGAUCAAGAAUGAACUUCUGACUCACCCUAACGCCGAGGUCAAACUUGCUAUAGCAUCUUGUAUAUCUGAGGUUACAAGGAUCACUGCACCCGAGGCUCCGUAUGAUGACAAUAUUAUGAGGGAUUUGUUUUCCAUAAUUGUGGGGACUUUUCAGAAUUUAGAUGAUAUUGAGAGCCCGUCCUUUGCAAGGAGGAUUUCAAUUCUUGAGACUGUGGCAAAGGUCCGGUCAUGCGUGGUCAUGUUAGACCUUGAGUUGGAUGAUCUGAUUCUGCAGAUGUUUAACCAUUUUUUCACAACUGUGACAUCAAACCAACCAGAAAUUGUCAUAUCAUCUAUGGUAACAACAAUGAAACUUGUAAUAGAUGAGAGUGAAGAAAUACAGACAGCGCUUGCAUCGUAUCUUCUUCAAAAGGCUAGAAAUGAGGAGAGGGAAACGUCUCCAGCAUCUUUUGAACUUGCAGAGAAGGUGAUCAGCUCAUGUGAAGAUGGGAAGCUCAAACCAAUAUUCCUGCAGUUACUUAAAGUUCAAGGCACUCCCUUGGAUGAAUACAGCAAAAUUGUCACGCUGGUUUGUGAAGGUGAUAAGGUUGUCAGGGAAGACAACAAUGUUGAUCCUUCUGGGAAGGACACGGUGGAUGAUGGCAAACUUUCGGAAAGGACUAUUUCUGAUGAACUGCCUCAGGAAUCUUCAAAACUGGAGCAAGAUGGUACUCCAACUACUGCUAUUAGUAGUGGUGCAACUCUGGUUGAUAAUGGUGAGGCUAAUCAAGGACCAGUGUCUCCAAAAGGACCAGCGUCUCCAAAAGGACCAGCGUCUCCAAAGGGAUCAGCGUCACCAAAAGGACCAGCAUCACCAAAAGAGAAGCCUGAACAGCCUGAAGACACAAAAGAUGCUGAUCAGUUGAAAUCUGCUAAUGAUGAAGGUGUAGAACCUGUUGAUGCAAAGCCCAAGAAGCCAUCUGGUCUUGAUUCAGACAAAGACCUGAAGCUCAAACCCUGCAAGUCUGUGGCUACUCCACACUCUAAUGUUGAUGUUGACAAAGAAGCUCAUGUAGUAUCCGGAGAGUUUUCUGCAGACAAGAAGGUAGUCAAUGGAGUGGCUGAUAAUGUACCAAAGCGUGCUGAUACCACACCCGAUGUAGUUAAGCCAAAACGAGGCCGACCUCCUGGACCAAAGUCAUCAGAGAAAAAGGCUGCUAGAAAUAACCAAUCUUCAGAUUUAGAUUUGAAGAAGACUGAGGAGGCUAUGGAUUCAACUGGGAAGUUAACAAAGCGAUCAGCUAAGGAUGAUACCAAAGCUUCCACAAAAAAGACUGGUGAAGGAGAAUCAUCAAAGAAGCAGCAAAAACCCAGUUUGAAACAGCACAAGGAAGAAAUCCUCUCUGAGGAGGACACCACCAAGGAUAUGACUCUAAAGGAAAUGGUCUCUCCAAAGUCUCUGACCAAGGGGUCAGGUAGAACCAAGGGUCAAAGUGGGCAGAAUAAUGUGAUGAAGAGGAAGCGUGAACAAGAUACUGAAGAGACUCCUCGCUCAAGGAAGGACAAAGGUCUGGAUGGAAGUCUAGUUGGUGCAAGGAUCAAAGUAUGGUGGCCAGACGAUGAGAUGUUUUACAAGGGCGUUGUUGACUCAUUUGAUACCCAUUCCAAAAGGCACAAGGUUGCAUAUGAUGAUGGAGAUGUAGAGGUACUGCUGCUUAGGGAUGAAAAAUGGGAUUUCAUCAGUGAGGAAGAAGGCCAAACUCCUGAUGCAUCUGAGAUGCGCUGUGGCAGAAAAGGGAGAGGAAUCACGCUGCUGCCAGUGAAGGAAGAAAAAAUAGAAACACCUAAAAGUGAUGGAGUGGAGCUUCCAAAGAAAAGGGGCCGUCCGAAAGGUUGGCGCCCCAACAAUGGUGGCACACCGUCAACAACUCCAAGCAAAUCAAAGGGGAAAACUGCUGUCAAGGAUGCCAAGGGGACACCUAAAAGUGCCAGCGAGAUUAAGAAAGAAGGCAAGGAGAAAGCCACUGGAUCAGCUAACAAGACGAAGGAUGAUUUAGCUAAAGACAGCAGCAACCAGAAGGUGAAGGAGGUUGGGAGCAAAUCUGGCGAUGGAUCUGUGAAGGGUAGGCCUGUGCGGAAACCAAAAAGCGCUGCCACUACCACUCCAGUGGCGGCUAGCGGAUCUGGAUCUGUUCAAGAGAAGCGGAAGGAGAAGGAGGAGAAAGAAGAGGCCGAGGCAUCUGAAAUGGAGCAGGAGGCAUCCGGCAAGGGGGCGUCUUCAACUGGAAAGAAGCGCAGAAGGAAGGCUUAG